GUUGAACGCUGGCGGCAGGCCUAACACAUGCAAGUCGAGCGGAUGAAGGGAGCUUGCUCCUGGAUUCAGCGGCGGACGGGUGAGUAAUGCCUAGGAAUCUGCCUGGUAGUGGGGGAUAACGUCCGGAAACGGGCGCUAAUACCGCAUACGUCCUGAUGGAGAAAGUGGGGGAUCUUCGGACCUCACGCUAUCAGAUGAGCCUAGGUCGGAUUAGCUAGUUGGUGGGGUAAAGGCCUACCAAGGCGACGAUCCGUAACUGGUCUGAGAGGAUGAUCAGUCACACUGGAACUGAGACACGGUCCAGACUCCUACGGGAGGCAGCAGUGUGGAAUAUUGGACAAAGGGCGAAAGCCUGCUCCAGCCAUGCCGCGUGUGUGAAGAAGGUCUUCGGAUUGUAAAGCACUUUAAGUUGGGAGGAAGGGCAGUAAGUUAAUACCUUGCUGUUUUGACGUUACCAACAGAAUAAGCACCGGCUAACUUCGUG
rnacentral:rRNA from 1 species